rnacentral:lncRNA from 1 species
AUGUCUCUUCAGAUGGUAACAACAGCAAGAUGGAACCGCAGCUUGUUCUUGGAGAGGGCAGCCCCAAGCAGAGCCUGGAAAUCCCAUGAUCAAUUCAAAUGGAAGCUGAUGCUCUCAUAUCUUGAGUGGAGCAGAAAACACUUGAAAUUUCAAGUAUGGUCAGAUUUAGCAGGUGUCCAAAAGAAUGAUGAAACAUCUUUGGAGGUAAAUAUUGUCUGGUGAGAUGUCUUCAGUACUUCAAAGAAAGUCUGUAACUGGACACAUGGGGGCUACAGCAUGUGAGGGCGUGGUGACCACAAAGUACAAUUGAUUCAGACAGAAAGCCUCCAAGGGACAGAAGGCCACAGCUUGAGUUAAGGAACAGUAAAUGACUCUAUUAGCUAAGGUAGAGAUACUAUAAGUAAAUACAGCAAUAUGAGCUUGACAUUUUGAACAAGUUUUAUUAAUUAUGUGAAUUAGUACAGCAAGCCCUCAAAUGCACAUCUAUAACUUUCAUUGGCCAGAUGGGUUACGGUCCCAAUAGCCGACUCUGACUCAAAGUAUGUUCAUGUGUGUGUCUGCGUGCUAACAUAUGCUCAUCAUUUAGUCGAGUGCAAUGCACUCCUUCUUCUGUAAGAAAUAACUUGUGAGCGGCCAAAAUUUGAAGCACAUGUUGUUACCAUAAUAAGAUAGGGUACCAAGGAAGAAUUUACUAAUGUGAUUAGCAAAGAUCUAGGGGCUUCUAAGGAAUUCUAUUAUAUGUAGACAUUCUGGUACAAGGACAUGAAAAUUGAUGAAUGUUUUUGAUUUGGAAGUAUAAUACUUGAAUUAUAGUGCUGAACCAAGUUAUAAGUCUAUUAAGAAUUAGAAAUGGCAAAACGUGUAUGAUUUUGAGACAUCUCAAUGACACUUAGACAUAGUGGAUUAGGAAUGUUCUACAAGAGACCAGAAAGCCAUCUCAUCCAAGAAGCAAAGACAUUUGGAAUAUUCCUGUCCCAUCUAUGUGAAUUAAUUCUGACCAAUAUUAUUGACAGUUUCUGUAAGCCAUACUGAUUUAGGUCAGAGUUACAAUAAAAACUGUUUUCAUUUAAACCAAGUUUAGUAACUGAAUCCUUGUGGCGCUGCCUGAAAUUGACCACAUAAGUACAGAAGAAAGACACCUCCCACUUUCCUUUUAUUUAGAAUGCGGAUGAUAAAUUGGGGCUAGCCAAAGCCUCCAAAGAGGUUGCAAAGGUGGGAACCCGGUGGUGGUGGCAGGAUUCCUUUAAGAACCAGGCACAGGAACAUGAUCCAUAGACCAUCUCCUGAGGAAGCAAACUGAAGCCCGAGGCAAGGGUAGAACUCCAGGGGUUUGGAUUCACUGGUUUUUAUACUUUUCUCUACAACAUUGAAUAACUAGAAUAAUUGCCACUAACAGUUAUGCCCCUUCUAGUAAGCAAAGAAACUACAUGGGUUUCCCGCGUUAAUAUACUCCCGUAACAGUGUGUUAGAGGGGACAAGAGAGUAGAGUUGGUUAGCGAAUUAAGUCAUGGAACCUUUUUUUCAGUUGACUUGUAGGGAUAUCAAGGAGGCCCCUUCAAGGAUGUUACCUCAAGAAUAGGGUUAAAUGGCCACCAUGAGGUAUGAUCAUUUAGAAAGUUGUCUUAUGCCCCAGAAGCCAAAUAAUUUUAUGGUGACCAUUUAUAUAUAUAUGGUGGGAACCAGUUUUUGAGAGGCAGUGUAGCCCCAGACCUAGAAACCUAUUCCAUUCAUCCUUAUCCCCAGCUCUACCUCCCUUGGGCUUCUUGAGGCAGAAUUUUAACUCUCCAUAAAACUAUUGUUUGAAAUAUUUUGAAAAAUCACUCAUCUAUCAUGAAGAUUGGGGAAAUGCUGCCUUAGACCCAAAAACUGAUUUCAUAUCCUCUUUAUUUUUCGCGGUUCUGCUCAUGCUAUCUUCCUUUUUCUUUUCCUUUUUCCUUCUUUCUCUUUUUCCUUCUUUUUUUCACACUUUCAUUUUACAGGUUUGGUGUGUCAUUUUCCCCUAAAUUACAUAAUCAUAAUGACUCUACUAUUAAGGUUAGCUCAGCCUCACCCUUGGGAGAAAUAGUUUCAUGUUUUUGUUGUAUAUCCACCCACAAUUUACGUCAUCAGAGAGCUUGCCCCAUAAACCAUUAUCACCUCUUCAACCUCAUUUUUUUCCACUGUAAAACCAAUUUUAUGUUGCCUUGACUAUGAAGACUUCCUAGACCAUUUACGUAACAUAGUCUUUCCUCUCUGUCUUACUGAAAUUAAAACCCAUUGUUUCCCUGCUUGUACUCUUGGAUUUAUCUUCCUCCUGGUCACCUAGACCCCCUUUCUAGGGAGUGGCCCUCUCUCUGAAGACAGGUAAUUCUCCUGCACUUCUCCAUCCUAAAAUGUCAAGGGCACUUGGCUGGCCCACCAGACCAGC